UACGUAGGUGGCAAGCGUUAGCCGGAAUUAUUGGGCGUAAAGCGCGCGCAGGUGGUUUCUUAAGUCUGAUGUGAAAGCCCACGGCUCAACCGUGGAGGGUCAUUGGAAACUGGGAGACUCGAGUGCAGAAGAGGAAAGUGGAAUUCCAUGUGUAGCGGUGAAAUGCGUAGAGAUAUGGAGGAACACCAGUGGCGAAGGCGACUUUCUGGUCUGUAACUGACACUGAGGCGCGAAAGCGUGGGGAGCAGACAGG
rnacentral:rRNA from 1 species